UUUCACCUGUCAAUCAGCCAACAAUUCUUUUCAUAUAAUCUCAUUAUCAGCAGCAACUCUCUCCAUUCUGCACUAAUAACCCACGUGAAAGAGGAACUCCAUUCAUUGCUAUUCUGCCUGCCAAACUUUAGAGUGUAUCUAUCCACUGAUUCAAUAUCAAUAACAGCAGCCACCAACACCAAAUAUUUGCAGGUCAAGCGCGAGAGUAAGAACUAUUCAAGAAGUCACAGUACCUUAGCAAAACUUUGCUAUCAGGUUGAGCUGUGAUGGGCGAUGAAGUAUUGCUGAGUGGAGUUUUUGUCGAACUUAAAGUAGGCUCAGAAAGGAUACAUGUCUUCAUACAUGUAUCUCAGUUAUGCAUUCCGCUGUAAACACUGAUUAUUUCAGUUACGCCUUCCGUUGCAAACUCUGAUAAUGUUUUAGCCAAGCCCCUAACGAUGCCUUUUUCCUUUUU